AGACUUUUCUGCCAAUAAGAGGUCAAUGCUCUGUAGCCAGCACUUUCAGCCGGAGUAUUUUGACCGGACAGGCCAAAUUGUCAGGCUCAGGGAUGGAACUAAACCAUCUGUGUUCAGUUUCCCAACACAUCUCAAAAGAAAAGUGGCAGCCAGGACUACACAAGCCUCAAGGAAGGCUGAAGCGAGCCUUGUAAUUGACUGUUCUUUACAAUCAUUACAAGUCACUGAACCUUCACCUACCUACCUUGAACACACUUAUGCAUUGCCUCCAUCUCCCACUCUUCUCAAGACUAGACUCAAUGAAGCCCUGGCUAGGGUGGAGAGUCUUGAGAAAGAGAUGAGGAACUCAAUGGCCCGAGAGUGGAGGGCGAAGAAAACAGUGCGUUGUCUUCUGGAGGACCUCAGGGG